rnacentral:pre_miRNA from 1 species
GCUCAUAGCCCGAUCGGCCAGAGGGCUGGCCUCCUACCGGGCGGGCUGCCCUCAGUAGGAGGCCAGCCCUCUGGCCGAUCCGGCGCAGGGG